ACUUCCGGAGCCGCCAUGUUGAGGCUCUGGGUCCAACCCAGGCCUUGACCGGACGCACCGCCACCCAUUGGCGAGUUGCUGGGCUCUCGGCCUCUGCCUUCUGCGCUCUCGUUCCCUCCCCCGUCCCCUCCCCCCCACCCUCCCCCCGCGACGGUGAACGCACCGUGGAGCGGCGCCGGCCCAGCUUGAACUUCCAUACACACCUUCCCCGUCUGCAAGUUUUUUCCCCUUUGUACAGGCGCAGGGAGGAGGAGCGCGGUCGCUUCCCCCUAAGGCAGCGAGCGCCCGGAUUCCUUAACCAUUUUCGGGGUCCCCGAUUCUAAAUUCCUCUGCGUUCCCGUAGGGAACGAACCUUCGCUCGUCUGUGGUUUCCUCGGCUUACUGGUUUCACAGACCUAACUGGUGUUGGAAAUUGCUGGCGCGCUCUCCGAGAAGUGAGUCAGCUCGAGAGCCUGUCUAGUUUUGGAUGUGGGGAACUCUGCCCAUCCUUGUGCUGGGAGCUCAGUGGAGGAUCCGCAGCCUGGCUCUCCCUGCAGUAGCAGCCAUUCAAGACAGCACAUAUUCCACAGGGUUAUCACAAAGCUCCUACUGGGUGCUACGCAGUCGAUGAGAUGGGCCAAAGCCUGCAAGCUGGUGGAAUCUGUCAACAUUCCAGCCUUUGUCCUGUCAUUGAACUGUUCGUGUUCCAUAGAAAUGGUCUUUUAAUAGGAAGUUGGAAGAUAUUCACUGUCCAGUUUCUUCAACCAUUUAUUCACUCAAGAGUUUCCUGAGCUAGAGAUGGAGUCAUUGUCUUAGCAACUGGGGACAUACAUGGGAAACUGAAAUAAAGAAGCCUGCUCUUACGUUUUAUAUUUGUUCUAGGUGUUCAGUGAAAGUUGAAAAAGACCUGUUUUACUAUAUUUAUAUACUUAUGUGAUCAAAGUUUUAUUUAGAAUUUGCCUGUUGUAUGACUUAUCUGGUAUAAAAACAGGAUGAGACAUUUCAUUUUUAUUAUUCAGUGUGGUUCUCUCCAGUGUAAGUUUUCUGUUUUGUUGUUCUGUCAAAUAAGGUGUGAACUAAGGCUAAUGAUUUGCCUGUACAGAUUACAUUGAGGAUCUGCUCUCAUAGGAGUCCUCUGAUGUUGAAUACAAUGAGGACUCCUACUGAAGGGCUUCUUGCCAGUGGGUUCUAUGACUCCUGAAGCCUUCCUAAGACGUGAUUACAUUCUCAGGUGCUUUCCAAUAUGAUUUCAGUGAUGCUGAGUAUGAGAGCUGUGCAUGAAAGAAACCUUUUCACAGCAGUCACAUUCCCUUGGCUUUGGAGUUCUUAGAUGUAAUGAUUUGGUCUAAAAACUUUUCCAAAUUCAA